rnacentral:rRNA from 1 species
CCUACGGGAGGCAGCAGUGAGGAAUAUUGGUCACUGGACGAGAGUCUGAACCAGCCAAGUAGCGUGAAGGAUGACUGCCCUAUGGGUUGUAAACUUCUUUUAUAUGGGAAUAAAAUGUUCCACGUGUGGGAUUUUGUAUGUACCAUAUGAAUACGGAUCGGCUAACUCCGUGCCAGCAGCCGCGGUAAUACGGAGGAUCCGAGCGUUAUCCGGAUUUAUUGGGUUUAACGGGAGCGUAGGUGGAUUGUUAAGUCAGUUGUGAAAGUUUGCGGCUCAACCGUAAAAUUGCAGUUGAAACUGGCAGUCUUGAGUACAGUAGAGGUGGGCGGAAUUCGUGGUGUAGCGGUGAAAUGCUUAGAUAUCACGAAGAACUCCGAUUGCGAAGGCAGUUCACUGGACUGCAACUGACACUGAGGCUCGAAAGUGUGGGUAUCAAACAGGAUUAGAUACCCCAGUAGUC